rnacentral:rRNA from 1 species
AACGCGAAGAACCUUACCUGGUCUUGACAUCCUAGGAACCCUUCAGAGAUGAGGGGGUGCCUUCGGGAACCUGGAGACAGGUGCUGCAUGGCUGUCGUCAGCUCGUGCCGUGAGGUGUUGGGUUAAGUCCCGCAACGAGCGCAACCCUUGCCGUGUGUUGGUCGCAAGAUCUCUCACGCGGGACCGCCGGUGACAAGCCGGAGGAAGGUGGGGAUGACGUCAAGUCAGCAUGGCCCUUACGUCCCGGGCUACACACGUGCUACAAUGGGAGGGACAACGAGUCGCGAACCCGCGAGGGCAAGCUAAUCUCACAAACCCUCUCUCAGUUCGGAUUGAAGGCUGCAACUCGCCUUCAUGAAGUCGGAAUCGCUAGUAACCGUAGAUCAGCUACGCUGCGGUGAAUACGUUCCCGGGCCUUGUACACACCGCGCAUA